rfam:Salmo salar isolate Sally breed double haploid chromosome ssa14, whole genome shotgun sequence.
UGCAUUCACUGCUGUAAGUCACUCUGGAUAAGAGCGUCUGCUAAAUGACUAAAA